rnacentral:rRNA from 1 species
GAUGAACGCUGGCGGCGUGCUUAACACAUGCAAGUCGAACGAUUAAACCCAGCUUGCUGGGUGGUUUAGUGGCGAACGGGUGAGUAACACGUGAGUAGCCUGCCCUUAACUCUGAGUUAAGCCUGUUAAACUGGGUCUAGUACCUAAUAGUUGCUCCUACCGCCUGGUGGGUUUUAGAGAGAUUGAUCGGUUUUGGAUGGACUCGCGGCCUAUCAGCUUGUUGGUGAGGUAAUGGCUCACCAAGGCGACGACGGGUAGCCGGACUGAGAGGGUGACCGGCCACACUGGGACUGACACACGGCACAGACUCCUAAGGGAGGCAGAAGUGGGGAAUAUUGAACAAUGGGCGACAGCCUGAUGCAGAGACGCCGCGUGACGGAUGACGGCCUUAGGGUUGUAAACCUAUUUCAGUAGGGACGAAGCGCAAGUGACGGUAACUGAAGCAGAAGGCCAGGCCAAAUAAGUG